CAGUCGAGCGGUACAGGCGUAGCAAUACAUGCUGACGAGCGGCGGACGGGUGAGCAAUAUUUGGGAAUCUGCCUAUUAGUGGGGGACAACCCGGGGAAACUCGGGCUAAUACCGCAUACGCACUACGGUGGAAAGCCGGGGACCGCAAGGCCUGGCGCUAAUAGAUGAGCCCAAAUCGGAUUAGCUAGUUGGUGAGGUAACGGCUCACCAAGGCGACGAUCCGUAGCUGGUCUGAGAGGACGACCAGCCACACCGGUACUGAGACACGGUCCGGACUCCUACGGGAGGCAGCAGUGGGGAAUAUUGGACAAUGGGCGAAAGCCUGAUCCAGCGACGCCGCGUGGGUGAAGAAGGCCUGCGGGUUGUAAAGCCCUUUCGGUGGGGAUAAAAAGCCUUGGUUUAACACACCAGGGUCUUGAUCUAACCCAAGAAAGAAGCACCGGCUAACUCUGUGCCAGCAGCCGCG
rnacentral:rRNA from 1 species